CUUCGGACACUUCCAUAUAGGAGAGAUCAUAAUAAGUACUGUCUGUACCACCACAACCAUGAUCACGAACUCGAGGAUGAAAUUGAAGACUUCAUCAGGCAUGGUCGUGUUGAUCGCUUCAUUCUGCAAAGGUGGGAGCGGUGAGAGUGGCGAGAAAGGCAAUGGAGGUCUCCUCGAUCGAAUAAGCAGCUGCGGCAGGU
rnacentral:lncRNA from 1 species